rnacentral:rRNA from 1 species
CCUACGGGUGGCAGCAGUGGGGAAUAUUGGACAAUGGGCGAAAGCCUGAUCCAGCCAUGCCGCGUGUGUGAAGAAGGCCUUCGGGUUGUAAAGCACUUUCAGUGGGGAAGAAAGCCUUGGGGCUAAUACCCUCGAGGAAGGACAUCACCCACAGAAGAAGCACCGGCUAACUCCGUGCCAGCAGCCGCGGUAAUACGGAGGGUGCGAGCGUUAAUCGGAAUUACUGGGCGUAAAGCGCGCGUAGGCGGUCUGAUAAGCCGGUUGUGAAAGCCCCGGGCUCAACCUGGGAACGGCAUCCGGAACUGUCAGGCUAGAGUGCAGGAGAGGAAGGUAGAAUUCCCGGUGUAGCGGUGAAAUGCGUAGAGAUCGGGAGGAAUACCAGUGGCGAAGGCGGCCUUCUGGACUGACACUGACGCUGAGGUGCGAAAGCGUGGGUAGCAAACAGGAUUAGAUCCCCUAGUAGU